AGUGAACGCUGGCGGUAGGCCUAACACAUGCAAGUCGAACGGCAGCACAGUAAGAGCUUGCUCUUACGGGUGGCGAGUGGCGGACGGGUGAGGAAUACAUCGGAAUCUACUUUUUCGUGGGGGAUAACGUAGGGAAACUUACGCUAAUACCGCAUACGACCUACGGGUGAAAGCAGGGGAUCUUCGGACCUUGCGCGAUUGAAUGAGCCGAUGUCGGAUUAGCUAGUUGGCGGGGUAAAGGCCCACCAAGGCGACGAUCCGUAGCUGGUCUGAGAGGGUGAUCAGCCACACUGGAACUGAGACACGGUCCAGACUCCUACGGGAGGCAGCAGUGGGGAAUAUUGGACAAUGGGCGCAAGCCUGAUCCAGCCAUACCGCGUGGGUGAAGAAGGCCUUCGGGUUGUAAAGCCCUUUUUUUGGGAAAGAAAAGCAGCAGGUUAAUACCCCGCUGUUCUGACGGUACCCAAAGAAUAAGCACCGGCUAACUUCGUG
rnacentral:rRNA from 1 species